rnacentral:rRNA from 1 species
UACGAAGGGGGCUAGCGUUGUUCGGAUUUACUGGGCGUAAAGCGCGCGUAGGCGGCUUUGCAAGCCAGAGGUGAAAUGCCUGAGCUCAACUUAGGAAUUGCCUUUGGGACUGCGAGGCUUUGAGGACUGGAGAGGUGAGUGGAAUUCCCAGUGUAGAGGUGAAAUUCGUAGAUAUUGGGAAGAACACCGGUGGCGAAGGCGGCUCACUGGCCAGUUUCUGACGCUGCAGCGCGAAAGAGUGGGGAGCAAACAGG